UUACGGCCGUAUCAUGUUGAAGCACUAGUUUCCAUACGAUCACUGAAGUUAAGCAAUGUCGAGCCUGAUCAGUAUCUAGAUGGAUGACCACUUGGGAAUACCAGGUGAUGUAUG